AUGUCAUGCUUUAAGCUGCCUCGAGGCUUGUGUGAUCAUAUCAAAUCCAUCAUAAGGAAAUCUUGGUGGGGCUGCAAGCAGGGUGAACGCAAACCGGCUUGGGUGUCAUGGGAUGUGAUGACACGUCCAAAACACCUAGGCGGGCUGGGAUUAAGAGAUUUGGAGAUUUUCAACCUAGCUUUGUUGUCACGUCAGGCCUGGAGACUCUUGCAAGAACCUCUGAGUUUGAGUGCAAGGAUUUUGAAGGCUAUAUACUACCCUUACAGUUCGAUACUUAAUGCUGAGUUGGGAUCUCGACCUUCUCAAAUUUGGCGAGCUAUCAUGGAGGGGCUGGAUUUGGUAAAGCAAGGAAUUAUUCACAGGAACGGUAAUGGACAAACAACGGAAAUAUGGAAUGACAACUGGAUACCG
rnacentral:rRNA from 1 species